GUGCCAGCCGCCGCGGUAAUACCGGCAGCUCGAGUGAUGUCCAAUAUUAUUGGGCCUAAAGCGUCCGUAGCUGGCCGCGCAAGUCCGUCGGGAAAUCCACCUGCCCAACAGGUGGGCGUCCGGCGGAAACUGCACAGCUUGGGACCGGAAGGCUCGAAGGGUACGUUCGGGGUAGGAGUGAAAUCCCAUAAUCCCGCACGGACCACCGAUGGCGAAAGCACUUCGAGAAAACGGAUCCGACAGUGAGGGACGAAAGCCAGGGUCUCCAACCGGAUUAGAAACCCUUGUAGUCC
rnacentral:rRNA from 1 species